rnacentral:rRNA from 1 species
GAUGAACGCUGGCGGCGUGCCUAAUACAUGCAAGUCGAGCGAACAGACGAGGAGCUUGCUCCUUUGACGUUAGCGGCGGACGGGUGAGUAACACGUAGGUAACCUACCUAUAAGACUGGGAUAACUUCGGGAAACCGGAGCUAAUACCGGAUAAUAUUUCGAACCGCAUGGUUCGAUAGUGAAAGAUGGCUUUGCUAUCACUUAUAGAUGGACCUGCGCCGUAUUAGCUAGUUGGUAAGGUAACGGCUUACCAAGGCAACGAUACGUAGCCGACCUGAGAGGGUGAUCGGCCACACUGGAACUGAGACACGGUCCAGACUCCUACGGGAGGCAGCAGUAGGGAAUCUUCCGCAAUGGGCGAAAGCCUGACGGAGCAACGCCGCGUGAGUGAUGAAGGUCUUCGGAUCGUAAAACUCUGUUAUUAGGGAAGAACAAACGUGUAAGUAACUGUGCACGUCUUGACGUUACCUAAUCAGAAAGCCACGGCUAACUACGUG